rnacentral:rRNA from 1 species
AAAGGAUGUAGGCAUGUAUCUUAGGCAAAUCCGGGGUACUCUAUGCUGAGAUCUGAUAGCAAGCUGUACUUGUACAGCGAAGUGGUUGAUGCCAUGCUUCCAGGAAAAGUCUCUAAGCUUCAGUUACACAGGAAUCGUACCCGAAACCGACACAGGUGGUCAGGUCGAGUAGACCAAGGCGCUUGAGAGAACUCUGCUGAAGGAACUAGGCAAAAUGGUACCGUAACUUCGGGAGAAGGUACGCUGUUGUUGGUGAUGGAACUCGCUUCCUGAGCUGACGACAGCCGCAGAAACCAGGCCGCUGCAACUGUUUAUUAAAAACAUAGCACUCUGCAAACACGAAAGUGGACGUAUAGGGUGUGAUGCCUGCCCGGUGCUGGAAGGUUAAUUGAUGGGGUUAGCGUAAGCGAAGCUCUUGAUCGAAGCCCCAGUAAACGGCGGCCGUAACUAUAACGGUCCUAAGGUAGCGAAAUUCCUUGUCGGGUAAGUUCCGACCUGCACGAAUGGCAUAAUGAUGGCGGCGCUGUCUCCAGCAGAGGCUCAGUGAAAUCGAAAUCGCUGUGAAGAUGCAGUGUACCCGCGGCUAGACGGAAAGACCCCGUGAACCUUUACUGCAGCUUGACACUGAACUUUGACCUUACUUGUGUAGGAUAGGUGGGAGGCUUUGAAGCUGGAACGCUAGUUCCAGUGGAGCCGUCCUUGAAAUACCACCCUGGUAAUGUUGAGGUUCUAACUCUGUCCCGUGAUCCGGGACGAGGACCGUGUCUGGUGGGUAGUUUGACUGGGGCGGUCUCCUCCUAAAGAGUAACGGAGGAGUACGAAGGUGCGCUCAGCGUGGUCGGAAAUCACGCGUAGAGUAUAAAGGCAAAAGCGCGCUUAACUGCGAGACCCACAAGUCGAGCAGGUACGAAAGUAGGUCUUAGUGAUCCGGUGGUUCUGUAUGGAAGGGCCAUCGCUCAACGGAUAAAAGGUACUCUGGGGAUAACAGGCUGAUACCGCCCAAGAGUUCAUAUCGACGGCGGUGUUUGGCACCUCGAUGUCGGCUCAUCUCAUCCUGGGGCUGAAGCAGGUCCCAAGGGUAUGGCUGUUCGCCAUUUAAAGAGGUACGCGAGCUGGGUUUAGAACGUCGUGAGACAGUUCGGUCCCUAUCUCCCGUGGGCGCUGGAAAUUUGAGAGGAUCUGCUCCUAGUACGAGAGGACCAGAGUGGACGAACCUCUGGUGUACCGGUUGUGACGCCAGUCGCAUCGCCGGGUAGCUAUGUUCGGAAGGGAUAACCGCUGAAAGCAUCUAAGCGGGAAGCCUACCUCAAGAUAAGAUUUCCCUAGGACUUUAUGUCCUCUAAAGAGCCGUUCGAGACUAGGACGUUGAUAGGUUGGAUGUGGAAGCAUAGUGAUAUGUGAAGCUGACCAAUACUAAUUGCUCGUGAGGCUUGACUA